CCUACGGGAGGCAGCAGUGGGGAAUAUUGGACAAUGGUCGGAAGACUGAUCCAUCCAUGCCGCGUGCAGGAUGAAGGUCCUAUGGAUUGUAAACUGCUUUUGUAAGGGAAGAGUAAGGAGUACGUGUACUUUGAUGACGGUACCUUACGAAUAAGCAUCGGCUAACUCCGUGCCAGCAGCCGCGGUAAUACGGAGGAUGCGAGCGUUAUCCGGAAUCAUUGGGUUUAAAGGGUCCGUAGGCGGGCUGAUAAGUCAGAGGUGAAAGCGCUUAGCUCAACUAAGCAACUGCCUUUGAAACUGUCAGUCUUGAAUGAUUGUGAAGUAGUUGGAAUGUGUAGUGUAGCGGUGAAAUGCUUAGAUAUUACACAGAACACCGAUAGCGAAGGCAUAUUACUAACAAUUUAUUGACGCUGAUGGACGAAAGCGUGGGGAGCGAACAGGAUUAGAUACCCUGGUAGUCCACGCUGUAAACGAUGGAUACUAGCUGUUUGGAGCAAUCUGAGUGGCUAAGCGAAAGUGAUAAGUAUCCCACCUGGGGAGUACGCACGCAAGUGUGAAACUCAAAGGAAUUGACGG
rnacentral:rRNA from 1 species